UUUCGUAAUAAUGCCCCAUGCUGACUGGAAUAACACGUGUCGAAUAAUGCCCCAUGGUGGGGGCAUUAUUUUUCUCUACCACUACGCAUGUUCUAACAAUUCAUAAACUUUGUCUCAUCGGCUCCAAUCUGUGAUUAUUUCAAUUCUUUCCCCAACAGAGAAUGGUACCUGUAUAUUGAUGAUAUUGAUAUUUUCUACGCAAAGUUGGAUAGUGAUUGUAAUUGUAAUUGUGACGGUGGAGGUGGUGGGUUGAAGGUGAUUGAUUGGAAAUUCCCGGUUUCAAGCUUCAACUUUCAACGUUUAACAAGUCUCACCUGCCGUGCUGUGUGUGUGAAACCACCCUACGAUCCGACAUACGCCAAAUCUUCCUGAUGGUAAACUGCAUUCUUGAUUGAUCGAUUGUUUGUUCGUUUGUGUACUUAUCAGUGCCAAACGCCCAAACUUAGUGCUUGAUUGAUGUAGCUUCUUCGGCUAGGAAGAACCCAUAGGCACUUUCACGUCCGGUAAGUGUUUGAUGAAAUGUCUCAGUGAGUAAGUGUUUUAAAGGGCUCUUGUAUCUGUCUUUUUAGUCAAUUGUUUAAUGAUUCUUGUUGAGAUUAGUGGUUCUGAAGUGAUAUUCUUGAUGGGUAUGUAAGAAAUCUUUGAGAUACGUUCCUAUUUUCAACUAUUUGUUGUGAAUUGUUAGGUGAUGGAAGGAACCUUCUUGCUUUCUUGUUACGGUGAUAUAUUGAAGGAAGAAAUAUAAAUUGUUUGUAAUGUUAUUGGUUUGUUUACGAGUUGAUUGGUGUUAUAUGCAGUUGGGGAAUCAUUGCAUCUGUUUGAGGAAUAAAACUACUAGGCAAUGCAAAAGAUGUGGGGUGAUUUAGGUUUGGCUGAAUCCAAUCAACUUACCAUCUGGUAAAUCAUGUCUGUGACAUCUGUGGUCAACCUCUUCAGUUCUUGCUUCAGGUAUUUCUAACAUUUUAUCUUACUCGUAAUUUUUCCAACAUUAGUUUAUUCUUUAUUACAUAAUGAAUUGUGACUUUUGAGUCGAACCUUUACUAAAGUCAUACCUAUUUCUGUUUGGAUUAAACAACUUAUCCUUAUAAGCAGAAAUAAACAGAUAAUUGGUUUAUUAAAAAGGGUUUAUAUAUUUUUCUAAAGGAAACCUAUAACCAUCAAUAAUAAUCAUUUUGAAAUAAGCAAUCUCAAACUGCAUAUAUAAACGCUGUUGUUCAUCCAAACCUUGAAUUUUAGACAACAUGCACAAUACGUACGACUAUGUCGGGAUCUUAAAAAAGCAAAUCCGGAGACUUCAAGUUCAAUCACAAUAACCUUUCUAAUAAUUUAUUUGUAGAUUUAUGCUCCUUACUCUGCAGAUAAAUUAUCGGAAUCGACAUACCAUAGAACCUUAUUUGUAUUCAUAGACAAACAUGAACAAUGGAAACACCUCCCAGAAAAGGCCUCUUGGAGGUAUUCUUAAUUCAUAUUCUUUUAAUAUGAGAUUGUUCCUUUUUUAAUAUUACCUUCUUUUUAAUCAAAUAUUAAGGUCUUCCGUUGUCAACUUCCUUGCCACAAUCAGUUUUACUCCAGUGAACCACCUAAAAAUGAUGGCAGUGACAAGCCUUUAGUUGCAGCAGCGUGUAGAGAAAUUUUGCUUUUCUUAAUCUUUUGUAGUUCCAUUGAGCCGAGCUCGAGCUCGCCUCGAACUCAAUUCAAGAUGGCUCGGCCCGAGCUCAAAUUUUAAAUCGAAUUGAGAUUUGAGGCUCGAGCUCGACCCGACUAAAAUUCGAGCUAGCUCGAACUAACAAAGAACCGCAAAAUUCACUACUUAAAAAGCCUUGGAAAAUGAAUCUUUUUAUAGACUAAGGGCCAUAAUUACAAUUUACCAAAUGGCUAAAUAUGCAAGUAUAAAUAGUUAACUCACUUUAUAAUUUUCUUUACCUUCUUUUAUAUGGGAGAUACUCCCUUAGUUUUUGCCUUCUUAGCGAUGUGGGACAAAAAAUUAAAAGAUGUAAACCUUUUCGAGCCGGCUCACGAGCUCACAAGCCGAGCCAGGCCAAGCUCGAGCUCGGCUGGUUUACAAAUCGAGCCGAGCCGAGCUGGCUCGUUUACAACCGAGCCAAUUUCGAGCCUAUCUUUUUUCGAACUUUCUUCGAGCGAGUUUCGAACGAGCUGCAAGCCACGAGUUUUUUGAACACCACUAGCUCCACUUUGUAGUUGGUGUGUUACCUGGAAAGGAAAUAAAGUUUGUACUUUGUAGCAAUGCAAAAGAGCACGUUACUGUUCCAAGACGCACCAGGUUGUUACCGCACUGCUAAUCUUUUAGCUUUUUUUUUUUUUUUUUUUUUUUUUUUUUUUUUUCUGUUUGGUAACUUUGGUUAUUCAUUCUUGUUCUUUUUUCUUUAUGCAAGCCAAUCACUGGAGUUCAACUCAUAAAAUCCAAUGUAGAACAAUAGAUCUUAUGCUUCAGCCAUCUAAUUCUGGGCCCCACAACUCUUAGGAAAUGCCAAAUGAUCACCAGUAAUAUCUACAUGUACAAUCUUAUGCGUCACACAACAUAUCUACAUUAUGCGUCAAACAACAUAUCUUCCUGCGGCAACGUGCGGGCAUUCCCACUAGUCAAUCAAUUAAACAAUUUUAUAAUAUGAUCACUAGAUAAUUAAUCUCAUUCGUUUUAAGCUCCUUUCAUGCACCAAGACCUAUCAAAACACAAACUAAUAAAAUACUAGCCUAUAAAUACUAGAAACGACUCAAAACCUAUCAAAAUAAUAUAAAAAUAUAAGGAUAAAUUGGUGUGUUUGCAACACAUCAAAUCAAAUAUCCUCACACUUGAACUUUUUUCGUCCUUGGAAAAACUUUGCAAUAGAAUCAUAACUAGGAUUAAUGGUUUCAAAAAAUUUAGAUUAUUUCAUUUAAAAGAUAUAAUAACGUAUAAACCACGAUUACCAAUAUUAUUAUCCACUUAAAUCCAACCACCAAUUCAUUAAGUCUCAUUCAUGCUAGCAUUAUUUUCAAGUAAACAAACAAUUUAAAAGUCUCACACUUAGAAAACCACAAAUCCACCUAAUUUCGCCUCAAGCUUAUAAGGUAAAGAGUUGAAACUCUACCAUUUUAUAUAAAAACCCUUAUGUAUUUAAAAUUAAAAUUUUAAUGAAUAAUGGAUGAAGUUUAUGAGCUCGGAUACAUUUUUUUUCUUAUGUUUAACUUAGAGGGUAUAUCAACCAAGUCUCCAUCUUGGAGGGUAAUACCAUGAGCUUCACUUGUUUUUCUUUUCUUUUCACGACUUAACCUAGAGGGUAUAUUGUGACAACUAUGAAAUCCCGGUAAACCCUAAUCGUUGCUAGUCCGCGAUAAAAGAACAGGAUGUGAUAGUAAUCUUGUGAUGAUUUUGAGGAUAAAAGCGUCUAAUAUAUGAUUACUAGAAUGUACUAUGCGGACCAGAAGUUAUGAUGUGUGCAAAGAUUCAUUGUAAACCCUAAGUGACACAUACGGCUUACACGAUUUAUGAAACGAUACUGAUCAUGCCUCGGAUGGAUUCGAGGGCACGUUAUAGUGAACAUAUGAACGAUAAUAGUCAACAGGAUGAUAUCAAUGCCUCAGUGUGUAGAAAACAGGUUAAACGGAAAGAUUGCCAGUUAACAGUGCAUUAACGAAUGGACGUUUCGUAAACAAUUCCAAGGAUUCGAAAUUAGGGAGACAUGAAAAUUAGACGGUAACUGUUAGCCCAUGCAACCAAGCCUGUAGAACAGAUGAUUGGAAAAGCUGUGACAACCCUCACAAAACCAGGAAACUAACGAUCUGGCGCGGUAUGGCUUGUUUUCCGCUGCAUUAGGCCCGAGGUCAUCCAGGGUUCGAGACUUGUGACUCUUUCCUGGACAAGUCACAGUCCCUGAACCAUGUUUACUUUAAGUUUGCAUUUGUAAUGUUUAGACAAAGUUAUGGUUGUUGGGUGUUAACCCGUUAAGACAAUGUUUAAUAUUUUUAUUAUCAAUGGAUGAUCUUGCAUAUUUUAAUUCA